CCUACGGGACGCAGCAGUAGGGAAUCUUCCACAAUGGGCGAAAGUCUGAUGGAGCGACGCCGCGUGAGUGAUGAAGGGCUUCGGCUCGUAAACCUCUGUCAGCAGGGAAGAACGGUCACUGUGCUAAUCAGCCGUUAAUUGACGGUACCUGCAUAGGAAGCACCGGCUAACUCCGUGCCAGCAGCCGCGGUAAUACGGAGGGGGCGAGCGUUAAUCGGAAUUACUGGGCGUAAAGCGCUCGCAGGCGGUAUGACAAGUCAAGGGUGAAAUCCC
rnacentral:rRNA from 1 species